UGGAGCUAGUGGCAUUCCAUACUUUUGGGGAGGCCAGAAAGCAAUGGGUGUCCCGUUAUAAAACUCACGUUAAAGGGGUCACAGAAGCCAAAUCUGAGCUGUGCGUAUUAAAUACCAGCUAUUUGAUUGAAAGGAAGUUUUGGGUGGGUGCAUCGGGAAUGGAAAAAGCAUGUGGCGAUUAUUUCGGUCAAAAAGGGCAGAGCUUGCAUUUAGCGUUUCCUGGGUGCCAUACCACAGGGGAAUGACCUGUGGAAGAAUAAAACUGUCUCAAAUGUUGUACAAUGUACCUUACACUUCUACUGAACGUUUCCUCUCUUUGGCCCUGUAUGUGAAUGUGCCUAUGUAUACGCAGUCAUGCGUAUACACCCAUACGCCGCUGCUAUCAAGUGGCACCAGGAAUCUGGCUUAUUCACUGGGUCUUCAUGCUCUUACAGAAUUGUUUUCCCAUGAUUAAAAUCACCAUUAUCACGAAUGGUUUGCUUCAAGAACCUGCGAGAGAUGUGCCUCAAUCAUAGGCAUAUAUUCUUCCAUCAGUCCUAGGAAUUACUCAAGAAAAUACCUGUAGGAAAAUUCGGAGCCCUGUGUGCAAAAUUGAGAUAUCCACUUCUUCUGGGAAAGAGAGUUUCUUGAGAUCUCUUCCUUGUAUGGGACUGUCCAGCCACAGCAAGGCGAUCUCCAGUUCUAUUUUGGAAGCCCUCGUAUAAUGCCUUAAAUAUAGAGGAUUACUCUCUUAAUCUCUCUUUUUCUUCCUCUCUCUUUUUUGGUCAUCUGCAUGCUUGUAGUCAUCUCAGCCACCAAUUUGUAGGGCGGUUACAAUUAAAGCUUUGCAAAGCGUGAGCCUGACAGGAAGGAAGGCAAUUACUUUCUGCCAAAUAUGGUGCAGUUUCAGCUGUAAUUCCAUAGAACUGCCAGCUUCUGGCUCCGGUAGGUGUACAAUCGGUUUCUUUAAAUGCAUUUGUCUUGGCAUCUAUUGGGACAGAAUCUCUGACAAUGAUGUCGAGCAUCCAAAAAAGCAGUUGACCUGCUGUCACUUGUAGAACAUUGAGGCCCAGGAGUGUACAUUACGUGGCCUUUAUUUUACAGUGAAAACUGUAUUUUCUUUUUAUGCUACAGAUGAAAAACGACAGCAGCUACUGAGCUUAAGCUCAGGGUUUUGUGGGUUUUUUUGUUUGUUUUUUGCUGAGAAAAAAAAAUACAGUGGGUUGAAUCCCAUUAAGAUUUGUUUUUCUGCAUAGUUGGUUUGGGUUUUUUCCCCCUAUAUGUUGCCUUACGUUGAAGGUUGAACUAGGUUGAAACUAUUGGGCACAAAUAUUAAAACAAGCAAGGUAUGAAUGGUGGCAAGUCUUAAAAUCCUAAUUUGAAACCGUGCUCUUCAAUUUCAUUUGCUUGUGGGUAGGACUGAAAUACUGUGAAAAUCCCUGAUGCAGGGCAUGCUCAUUAGCAUUUCAGACCAGAAAAUGGGGGUGGUGGGGGAGAGAAUUACACAUUCUCUACAGGUUCUCCUGUUUUGUUUCAGCUUUAGGCUACCUUUUAAACACUGUGACAGGCUUCAGUGGAAGAAGGCUUUUCCUCCACAGAUCUUUUAAAUUUCUCUUGACUUUACUGUUGGACUGGGACCACAUUAAGGAUUAGUUAUUUGGUUUUGCGAUGAUUUAUGCAGCAUAGGUCUUGUCUCAUCUGGUCUUUUCUGUACACUUAUAGUUAGUGUACAGUUAUCCUUUCCAAGGCCACCAAGUAUGAGUUAUACCAAUAAGUAGAUUUGUUCACUGGGAUGAUUGCAGGUCUACCAUAUUUAAAAUUUAGGGAGCAUUGUGAGAAAUUAAAAUGGUGGCCUGAUCUUUUCACCUUGCACUGCUCAGAGUAUAGCUCAAUAGAUAUAGGAAUAUAAUUUCCAACUUUUAUUUUGUAUAUAUUUAUCUGGAGAUCUCCGGCAUACUCUGUAAUAUAAAUGUGAAUUAUAAUUUCUGCAUUUUUAAAAAUUAAUUUUUAGUGUGGCAAUCCUCAUGGAAUGUAUGGGGGGGCCUCUUUCUGCUGUAGUUGCCUAUGAUAAGAUGUCUAAAUAAAUUAUAUUGGAAAGCAAUGUUCACACUUCCGUGGUCAUGUUGAUAUACUGAGCUACUAUUAUGAAAACUAUCUGGUUACUUCCUAUAUCUAUGCUUAGCAAUACUGAUGUACCAUAAAACUGCCAUUGGUUUCUGUGCCUUGUGAUUCAGUAA